AAAACCGACACAGGUGGGCGAGAUGAGUAUUCUAAGGCGCUUGAGAGAACUCGGGAGAAGGAACUCGGCAAAUUGGUACCGUAACUUCGGGAAAAGGUACGCCCUUGUAGCUUGGCUGAUUUACUUCAGUAGGGUGAACGGGUUGCAAUAAACUGGUGGCUGCGACUGUUUAAUAAAAACACAGCACUCUGCAAACACGAAAGUGGACGUAUAGGGUGUGACGCCUGCCCGGUGCUGGAAGAUUAAAUGAUGGGGUGCAAGCUCUUGAUUGAAGUCCCAGUAAACGGCGGCCGUAACAAUAACGGUCCUAAGGUAGCGAAAUUCCUUGUCGGGUAAGUUCCGACCUGCACGAAUGGCGUAAUGAUGGCCACACUGUCUCCUCCCGAGACUCAGCGAAGUUAAGUGUUUGUGAUGAUGCAAUCUACCCGCGGCUAGACGGAAAGACCCCAUGAACCUUUACUGUAGCUUUGCAUUGGACUUUGAAUCAAUCUGUGUAGGAUAGGUGGGAGGCUUUGAAGCGGUGACGCCAGUCAUCGUGGAGCCAACCUUGAAAUACCACCCUGGUCCAUUUGAGGUUCUAACCUUGGCCCGUUAUCCGGGUCGGGGACAGUGCAUGGUAGGCAGUUUGACUGGGGCGGUCUCCUCCUAAAGUGUAACGGAGGAGUUCGAAGGUACGCUAGGUACGGUCGGACAUCGUGCUAAUAGUGCAAUGGCAUAAGCGUGCUUAACUGCGAGACUGACAAGUCGAGCAGGUACGAAAGUAGGACAUAGUGAUCCGGUGGUUCUGUAUGGAAGGGCCAUCGCUCAACGGAUAAAAGGUACUCUGGGGAUAACAGGCUGAUUCCUCCCAAGAGUUCAUAUCGACGGGGGAGUUUGGCACCUCGAUGUCGGCUCAUCACAUCCUGGGGCUGUAGCCGGUCCCAAGGGUAUGGCUGUUCGCCAUUUAAAGUGGUACGUGAGCUGGGUUUAAAACGUCGUGAGACAGUUUGGUCCCUAUCUGCCGUGGGCGUUGGAAAUUUGAAGGGGGCUGCUCCUAGUACGAGAGGACCGGAGUGGGCAGACCUCUGGUGUACCGGUUGUCACGCCAGUGGCAUUGCCGGGUAGCUAAGUCUGGAAGAGAUAACCGCUGAAGGCAUCUAAGCGGGAAACUUGCCUUGAGAUGAGAUUUCCCAGAGCCUUGAGCUCUUUGAAGGGUCGUUCGA
rnacentral:rRNA from 1 species